rnacentral:tRNA from 1 species
UCCCUGGUGGCUCAGAGGUUAAAGCGUCUGCCUGCAUUGUAGGAGACCUGGGUUCGAUCCCUGGGUUGGGAA